GACAGAGGGUGCAAACGUUGUUCGGAAUUACUGGGCGUAAAGCGCGUGUAGGCUGCUUCGCAAGUCAGAUGUGAAAGCCCUGGGCUCAACCCAGGAAGUGCAUUCGAAACUGCAGAGCUGGAGUCCUGGAGAGGAAGGCGGAAUUCUCGGUGUAGAGGUGAAAUUCGUAGAUAUCGAGAGGAACACCGGUGGCGAAGGCGGCCUUCUGGACAGUGACUGACGCUGAGACGCGAAAGCGUGGGUAGCGAACAGG
rnacentral:rRNA from 1 species